GGUCAGAAUUCUUUGUCAGCUGAUGCUGUUGGGUGCCAGUUGCUGGGUCUCCAGGGAGAUAAGGGGCUUCCCAUAUAGGGAGGUAGACCAUUUAGUCCAGGGCCCCACACUGGUUAACCAGUUCUGUUACUGACAAAGCUGGCCCCCUAUAAGAUGGAGUCUUUCCCUGUUCAGUGUCAUGAAACCAAAUGUAGGAAACUGAAAGUGAGUUUCAAGCAGUACAGACUUAUUUAAUGGUCAUGGAAUUGAGAAGUGGGAGCAUGGCUCAUGAGUCAACUUCUUGACUAGAAAAUGGGGCAUAUUGUCCUGGAAUUAUGGCCAACAUUCUACAGGGCAACAGGUCAUUGAUUCUGAUCCUGCCAGCAUCCACCCAUCUUAUUGGUGGGCAUCAUCCCAGGGUGAACCUGUGAAAGAUAUUGCUUAGUACUGCUUGGAGGCUCUUUGAAUCUGGCUUGGUUGUUCCUGUUCCUGACAUUUAUGAAUAAAUAAAAACUACGGAACUCAACAACUAUUUUUAGCCUCUGUGGACAGCUCCAUAGGGAGAAUGAACUAUUCGUCAACGUCAACCAUAUUUUACUGAAGAUUUUGAAGGUAUUCCAAUGUGACUGACUACUACGUUUCCUCACAUGUGUGCUGCUGUAUCUGAGAUCACCAUGUUUUCAAUUAUCUCAUAUGAACCUAUGAGGUCUCACUCUGUUGCUCAGGCUGGAGUUCAGUGGCUAUUCACAAGGUGCAAUCAUGGUGCACUACAGCCUUGAACGUCUCUUCUCAAGUGAUCCUCUUGCCUCAGCCUUCCAAGUAGCUGGGACUACACCUGAUUGUGCUGACCACAGGUAAGUGAAAACUCAGAAAAGUGAACCCACAGAUAAGCGGAGACUCCUCUAUAUUUGGUCUAAGCCAAGAAUCCAUUUCCUCUCUGUAAAUAAGAGUGGCAUAUCCUCCUGAAACAGGAUCUGAGGUGUAGCAAAAUGCAAGGUGUAGGAUUUGAAAAGAUGGAAGACGUGUUUGCAAAUACAAAAUGCAAUCAAAGUUUCAAAUAAUGUUGAAUUUUAAUAAUGUUUCUGCUUCCAGUAAUUCAAGUCAAUGUGGCAGAUUAUAUUUUCCAAACAUAUGGUAGUAGAGCUGGUGGAAUGAGAGAGAUUUUUGCAGCGAUCUCAGGAAAAUACAGUCUGAUGUGGUCAGAUAUUUUCUUCCUUUUUGUAGCAUAUCUAGAGAAUGUGAGGACCAAAUAGAUGGGAAAUGACCCUGCUGACUGUCAGCACUGCAUGCUUGCUUAACUGCAAUCCACAGCAUUGGGCAGAAUCUUAGAAUACAUAUAGAAGAUGGGAUAGGACGAGAAACCUCCAAGCAAGAAGACAGAAUUUGAAAUUUCCACCAAUCAGAACACUGAACAGGGAUCCUUUUACUGUAUGGCUGCCUUUGCAUACACCAACGAACUCACGUGUUCACCUGUAUCUGCAUCGAUUAGAAAUUGCACUUCCAGGAAAUAAAAGAAAAGUAAAAUAAAAACAACACAGAAAGAAGAAGGAAGCCCGAGAAGGAUAUUUUAAACUAAAACUGGCCUGGAACUGGACUUCAUUGCACUGAACUGAGGACUGGUUUCACCUGGCCUCCAAGAAGAGUGCCAGCCAU